rnacentral:rRNA from 1 species
AUACGGAGGGUGCAAGCGUUAUUCGGAAUCACUGGGCGUAAAGGACGCGUAGGCGGGUUGGCAAGUCAGAUGUGAAAUCCUACAGCUUAACUGUAGAACUGCAUUUGAAACUGCUAACCUAGAGUAUGGGAGGGGUAGAUGGAAUUAGUGGUGUAGGGGUAAAAUCCGUAGAUAUCACUAGGAAUACCGAAAGCGAAGGCGAUCUCCUGGAACAUAACUGACGCUAAGGCGUGAAAGCGUGGGGAGCAAACAGGAUUAGAAACCCCAGUAGUCC